rnacentral:rRNA from 1 species
GUCUAUGGCCAUACCUCCCUGAAUGCCCCUGAUCUUGUCUGAUCUUGGGUGCUAAGCAGGGUCGGGCCUGCUUAGUACUUGGAUGGGAGUCAUAAAUA